rnacentral:lncRNA from 1 species
CGGAGAUACAGAACUGAACGAGUGUUCGGUGAAGGCUUAAGAUGGAGAUCGACGACGUCGAAGCUCAAGACUCUUCUCGGCCAAAGCUCAAAACUUGACCUUUCAGCUUCCCCUUGCUAUCAAGGCGAGCUCAAUAGAAGUGAAGAGUCUAUUAAACGGUUAUGUUGAGAGGAACAUGGCAUCUCCGAGGUCGCGGUCGCCGACAAGCUGAUGAGCUGACUGAAGACUCUGAACGGAGAGCUCA